rnacentral:tRNA from 1 species
UGGUCGCUGGUGCGCGGUGAUGCCAAGGUGGCCUGGCAUGCCUUCCGGCACCCGCAUGCGCCGGGCUGGUUCCGUGCCGGCGUGAUCGGCC